CUCGUGAUCCGCCCGCCUCGGCCUCCCAAAGUGCUGGGAUUACAGGCGUGAGCCACCGCACCUGGCCUCUUUCUGAUUCUUAACCAUUCCCUGUGGGUGGUGGAGUUGUGUGGGUGGUGGAGGCUCAGAGCAGGCCACUGGCCCAGGAAGAAGACGGGACUCAGAGCAGAGAGGGACGAGCUGGGUGGAAGCAAAGUCCAUCUUCCCUGCACUCCGGUCCUCCCUCCCCGGCCUCGAGGUGGACGAGUUCCAUUCCCGCCCCCUAUCUGUGCCCGACCCGUCGGCCAACACACACGCCCAGGACUCGUUUAAAUAAGAAAUCUGUAAACGCCACUGGUCCUUUCUGCCGCAGUCUCUCUCGCGAUCACGCUGCCUCUGACUUUCCCUCUGGUCUCCAGCCCUGACAUUCAAUGCGUCUCCCACAGAACUCGUCAAAGAAACGACAUGCCAUCGUCUGCAGAAUUAUAAUUUAACGUAGAGAUGGGGUUUCACCGUGGUCUCGAUCUCCUGACCU